rfam:Schistosoma margrebowiei strain Zambia genome assembly, scaffold: SMRZ_contig0015043
AGCCUUCUAUAUCCGUGCUGAGAUUUCGUCACACAUCAGAGCACAAGGGCUGAUGAGACUUCCAAGAUAAGUGAAGCG